rnacentral:rRNA from 1 species
GUGGGGAAUCUUGCACAAUGGGCGAAAGCCUGAUGCAGCAACGCCGCGUGAGCGAUGAAGGCCUUCGGGUCGUAAAGCUCUGUCCUAUGGGAAGAUAAUGACGGUACCAUAGGAGGAAGCCCCGGCUAACUACGUGCCAGCAGCCGCGGUAAUACGUAGGGGGCAAGCGUUAUCCGGAAUUACUGGGCGUAAAGGGUGCGUAGGCGGUUUAUCAAGUCAGAGGUCAAAGGCUACGGCUCAACCGUAGUAAGCCUCUGAAACUGAUGAACUUGAGUAUAGGAGAGGAAAGUGGAAUUCCCAGUGUAGCGGUGAAAUGCGUAGAUAUUGGGAGGAACACCAGUGGCGAAGGCGACUUUCUGGACUAUAACUGACGCUGAGGCACGAAAGCGUGGGGAGCAAACAGGAUUAGAAACCCCAGUAGUCC